CCUACGGGGGGCUGCAGUAACGAAUCUUCCGCAAUGCGCGAAAGCGUGACGGAGCGACGCCGCGUGUGGGACGAAGUCCUUCGGGAUGUAAACCACUGUCAGGGGUUACCAAGAUCUGAGGAGCCCCAGAGGAAGGCACGGCUAACUCUGUGCCAGCAGCCGCGGUAAGACAGAGGUGCCGAGCGUUAGGCGGAAUCACUGGGCUUAAAGCGUGUGUAGGCGGACGGGUAAGUACCUUGUGAAAUCCCACGGCUCAACCGUGGAACUGCUCGGUAUACUGCCCGUCUUGAGCCGCUUAGGGGUCGUCGGAACAAACGGUGGAGCGGUGAAAUGCGUAGAUAUCGCCUGGAACGCCGAAGGUGAAGACAGGCUGCUGGGGAUGCUACUGACGCUGAGACGCGAAAGCCAGGGGAGCGAACGGGAUUAGAUACCCCAGUAGU
rnacentral:rRNA from 1 species